rnacentral:rRNA from 1 species
CCUACGGGAGGCAGCAGUGAGGAAUAUUGGUCAAUGGGCGGGAGCCUGAACCAGCCAAGUCGCGUGAGGGAAGACGGUCCUACGGAUUGUAAACCUCUUUUGCCGGGGAGCAACGGGGUCCUUGCGAGGGCCCAAUGAGAGUACCCGGAGAAAAAGCAUCGGCUAACUCCGUGCCAGCAGCCGCGGUAAUACGGAGGAUGCGAGCGUUAUCCGGAUUUAUGGGGUUUAAAGGGUGCGUAGGCGGGCUGUUAAGUCAGCGGUCAAAUGUCGGGGCUCAACCCCGGCCUGCCGUUGAAACUGGCGGCCUCGAGUGGGCGAGAGGUAUGCGGAAUGCGUGGUGGAGCGGUGAAAGGCAUAGAUAUCACGCAGAACUCCGAUUGCGAAGGCAGCAUACCGGCGCCCUACUGACGCUGAGGCACGAAAGCGUGGGUAUCGAACAGGAUUAGAUACCCUAGUAGUC